rnacentral:rRNA from 1 species
GAUAAACGCUGGCGGCGUGCUUAACACAUGCCAGUCGAACGAAGUUUUUCUUUCGGGAGGAACUUAGUGGCGGACGGGUGAGUAACGCGUGGGUAACCUGCCCUGUACAGGGGGACAACAGCUGGAAACGGCUGCUAAUACCGCAUAAGCCCUUAGCACUGCAUGGUGCAUAGGGAAAAGGAGCAAUCCGGUACAGGAUGGACCCGCGUCUGAUUAGCCAGUUGGCAGGGUAACGGCCUACCAAAGCGACGAUCAGUAGCCGAUCUGAGAGGAUGUACGGCCACAUUGGGACUGAGACACGGCCCAGACUCCUACGGGAGGCAGCAGUGGGGAAUAUUGCACAAUGGAGGAAACUCUGAUGCAGCGACGCCGCGUGAGUGAAGAAGUAUUUCGGUAUGUAAAGCUCUAUCAGCAGGAAAGAAAAUGACGGUACCUGACGAAGAAGCACCGGCUAAAUACGUG